AAUAAUAAUUAAUUAAUCAAAAUUGAUUUGUGAAAAAAUAUAUAUAAAAUUAUAGAGAGUUUUUAAUUAUCAUGGGAGAAAAAAAAGAAAGGUUAUUUGUUUGAAAGCCAUGUAAUCGUUACUUAAAAAAGGGAAAUUUGCAAAACUACCCUUCUUUUACUACCUUUUGCAACAAUACCCUUUUAUGUUGUCCAUUUUUAAAAAUACCCUUCUUUUGAACAGAAUGACCAAAUUACUCUCAUCUAAUAGGAACAAGUAAUUGGAAACUGAAAUUUUCAAACAAAUUUUUUUGGCGCCAAAAUGUUUUUUUCCCGCCAAAAAAUAAAUACCGCCAAACUUUUUUCCCACCAAAAA
rnacentral:sRNA from 1 species